AUGCGCGGAGGGCGCUCGGGGGGAGGUAGUGGGGGGCUGCGGAACCCCUGCCUGACGAUGCACCAGUCAUGGGCAUCGCUGCCGGUGCACGGCACAAAGCGCGUGGAGGGCCGCUCCUGGCCGUCACCGGUGCCUGACCCCGACACCGUCGCCGCCAUGGAGGACUUCUACCGGGAGAUCUACGCCAUCGACGGGGUCCACCACAUCGACUUCCCAGAGCACUACCCCGUCUCCUGCCUCCUCGGAUGCUUCGAGGUGGUCGGCUGCGUCCAGUCUGCAGAUAUCUUACUAGAAUAUUUUAUAUGGCUUUGCGAGAAUCCACAUGAAUCCGUAUACAUAUAUAAUCUCUUGUAUAUACUUUCGUUGUUAACUCCAAACAACUUGGUACCUUCUCUUCUGCAUGCAGAAACUAGCUUACCAGUACACCGCCAAGGGGGCAUGCCUUGCCCUGGUAGCAAAGAGGAGUGGAGCCUGUGGCAGGCCGCCAACCGCGCCUUCGAGCUCGGCGCGGCGAACGUGAUCAUUCUCCCCGGGGACGUCGCAUACCCCGACGACUACAAUAGAUUUGUUCAGGCCACAAUCGACCACUACGGCCAAUGUAACUACACCCAAUGCUCAAGUACGAUCAUAGUGCCCCCUAGUUGGUGCUUUAUAAGAGAAGAUGGAGACUCAAAUUAA
rnacentral:rRNA from 1 species